AUUUAAAUAGUUUAAUAAAAAUAAUGAUUUGUGGGGUCAUAGAUAUAUCGUUUAGUAUUUUGAAUA
rnacentral:tRNA from 1 species